rnacentral:snoRNA from 1 species
AAACCGUGAUGGGGACAUUGAGUGGUGUAGGUUUUAAACCUCUCGCAUGCUUCACAGAACGUUUCAUUGAUCGUCGGAGGACCAUCGUCCCGGAUUCUCUGCGUUU